GGGAUGAUGGAGCUGUGCAGAAUCCAUCGCGGGAAGUGGAGCAGGAUCACAGUGGUUGCUGGGUUGCGCCAGAAAGUACAGGUUCGUCGGCUGAAGUUCGGCAGUGGUCGGAACUGGUGACGGAGCCUGGUUCCCGUAGGAGCCCGGGCGGAGCCCUCCUUGUGGUUGAGGUCGUGGAUGGAGCUCGGCUCCCACAGGAGUCCUGACGGAGUCCUCCUUGAGG
rnacentral:lncRNA from 1 species